rnacentral:rRNA from 1 species
AUUCCAGCUCCAAUAGCGUAUAUUAAAGUUGUUGCAGUUAAAAAGCUCGUAGUUGGAUUUCUGGUGGGGCUGUCGGCCUGGCUCCGAAAGGGGUCGUGGUUAGUACACGCCUGGCCAUCCUCGGGGGAAGCUUUGCUGGCAUUAAGUUGUCGGCGGAGUGACGCUCGUCGUUUACUGUGAACAAAUUAGAGUGUUCAAAGCAGGCUUAGGCCGUUGAAUACAUUAGCAUGGAAUAAUGAGAUAGGACUUUGGUGGUCUAUUUUGUUGGUUUGCACGCCGAAGUAAUGAUUAAUAGGGGCGGUUGGGGGUAUUCGUAUUCAAUUGUCAGAGGUGAAAUUCUUGGAUUUAUGGAAGACGAACUACUGCGAAAGCAUUUACCAAGGAUGUUUUCAUCG